GAUGAAGAACGCAGCGAAAUGCGAUACGUAAUGUGAAUUGCAGAAUUCAGUGAAUCAUCGAGUCUUUGAACGCACAUUGCGCCCCCUGGUAUUCCGGGGGGCAUGCCUGUCCGAGCGUCAUUGCUGCCCUCAAGCACGGCUUGUGUGUUGGGCCUCCGUCCUCCUCCCGGGGGACGGGCCCGAAAGGCAGCGGCGGCACCGCGUCCGGUCCUCGAGCGUAUGGGGCUUCGUCACCCGCUCUUGUAGGCCCGGCCGGCGCUUGCCGACACAUCAAUCUUUUUUCCAGGUUGACCUCUGAUCAGGUAGGGAUACCCGCUGAACUUAAGCAUAUCAAUAAGCGGAGGA
rnacentral:misc_RNA from 1 species